CAGUCGCCGCGGGAAUACGAAGGGUGCAAGCGUUACUCGGAAUUACUGGGCGCAAAGCGUGCGUAGGUGGUGGUUUAAGUCCGUUGUGAAAGCCCUGGGCUCAACCUGGGAAUUGCAGUGGAUACUGGGUCACUAGAGUGUGGUAGAGGAUAGUGGAAUUUCCGGUGUAGCAGUGAAAUGCGUAGAGAUCGGAAGGAACAUCUGUGGCGAAGGCGACUAUCUGGGCCAACACUGACACUGAGGCACGAAAGCGUGGGGAGCAAACAGGAUUAGAUACCCCAGUAGUCCCUGUCUCUUAUAC
rnacentral:rRNA from 1 species